UUUAGCUAAAUUUUAUUCAAUUUUGAAAUUAAAAUGAGGAGGAUUGUGCCCUGCUAAGGUGUCAUCACAGUUAAUAUCUUUUAUUAUAUUUUGGGUGGGUCGCACAUGACACAAUGAAUUUAAAAAAAAAAUAAAGGCUAAAUUUGUAACUUCCAUAGUCCUAAACCCUGAAUUAAAGUUCAUUUUUUCUUCCUCCUUCUUCAAAGCAACAAUCUGAUGAUUUUUUCUUUCCCUUCAUGAGUUUGAUGCAUAGCACAUUCCAUCAUUAUCUGCAUUUUGCUCUACCAAGUUUGCAUUCCAUCACGAUAGAAGGAUUGCCUCCUUCAAGAAGCAAAAGGCCAAUAAUGUGCAAGAAGGCCAUUAGCAGGGCAUAAGUCUCCUACACUUCAAUAGUGUGCCGUAUGUGAUCCCAUCAAUGCCAAAUUUUCCAGCUUUGACAUCUCACCAAAUAUCUGAAGAGCUGAAUUAAUAUCGCUGCAAUAAACACAAGCCUCCAUCACCACAUUCAUAACAAUUGGGUUCAGAUUGGCAUAACGUCUCUUGGCAACAUCAAUUUCCUCAAAAAUCUAUUGGAGCUGCCGUCGACGAGUGAGCUGAACGAUGCGGGAGGUAAGCCCCUUGAGAUUGAAGUGUUUGCGAGGGGUAAUCUUGAGUAUAUGAAGCCUUGUUGGACCAAAAGAAGAAGAAGAAAAGAAUGAGAGGGG
rnacentral:misc_RNA from 1 species